CCGCACCCAUGUGACUGGCGCAUACGGAUAGAGCACUAUCGGGGAGCAUGGGGUCGCUAGCCGCCGCGCGCCUGGGCAUUACCU
rfam:Burkholderia sp. SRS-W-2-2016 contig28472, whole genome shotgun sequence.